rnacentral:rRNA from 1 species
GACGAACGCUGGCGGCGUGCUUAACACAUGCAAGUCGAACGGAAAGGCCCUGCUUUUGUGGGGUGCUCGAGUGGCGAACGGGUGAGUAACACGUGAGUAACCUGCCCUUGACUUUGGGAUAACUUCAGGAAACUGGGGCUAAUACCGGAUAGGAGCUCCUGCUGCAUGGUGGGGGUUGGAAAGCUUCGGCGGAUGGGGAUGGACUCGCGGCUUAUCAGCUUGUUGGUGGGGUAGUGGCUUACCAAGGCUUUGACGGGUAGCCGGCCUGAGAGGGUGACCGGCCACAUUGGGACUGAGAUACGGCCCAGACUCCUACGGGAGGCAGCAGUGGGGAAUAUUGCACAAUGGGCGGAAGCCUGAUGCAGCAACGCCGCGUGCGGGAUGACGGCCUUCGGGUUGUAAACCGCUUUCGCCUGUGACGAAGCGUGAGUGACGGUAAUGGGUAAAGAAGCACCGGCUAACUACGUG